GAUGAACGCUGGCGGCGUGCCUAAUACAUGCAAGUCGAGCGAACGGACGAGAAGCUUGCUUCUCUGAUGUUAGCGGCGGACGGGUGAGUAACACGUGGAUAACCUACCUAUAAGACUGGGAUAACUUCGGGAAACCGGAGCUAAUACCGGAUAAUAUUUUGAACCGCAUGGUUCAAAAGUGAAAGACGGUCUUGCUGUCACUUAUAGAUGGAUCCGCGCUGCAUUAGCUAGUUGGUAAGGUAACGGCUUACCAAGGCAACGAUGCAUAGCCGACCUGAGAGGGUGAUCGGCCACACUGGAACUGAGACACGGUCCAGACUCCUACGGGAGGCAGCAGUAGGGAAUCUUCCGCAAUGGGCGAAAGCCUGACGGAGCAACGCCGCGUGAGUGAUGAAGGUCUUCGGAUCGUAAAACUCUGUUAUCAGGGAAGAACAUAUGUGUAAGUAACUGUGCACAUCUUGACGGUACCUAAUCAGAAAGCCACGGCUAACUACGUGCCAGCAGCCGCGGUAAUACGUAGGUGGCAAGCGUUAUCCGGAAUUAUUGGGCGUAAAGCGCGCGUAGGCGGUUUUUUAAGUCUGAUGUGAAAGCCCACGGCUCAACCGUGGAGGGUCAUUGGAAACUGGAAAACUUGAGUGCAGAAGAGGAAAGUGGAAUUCCAUGUGUAGCGGUGAAAUGCGCAGAGAUAUGGAGGAACACCAGUGGCGAAGGCGACUUUCUGGUCUGUAACUGACGCUGAUGUGCGAAAGCGUGGGGAUCAAACAGGAUUAGAUACCCUGGUAGUCCACGCCGUAAACGAUGAGUGCUAAGUGUUAGGGGGUUUCCGCCCCUUAGUGCUGCAGCUAACGCAUUAAGCACUCCCGCCUGGGGAGUACGACCGCAAGGUUGAAACUCAAAGGAAUUGACGGGGACCCGCACAAGCGGUGGAGCAUGUGGUUUAAUUCGAAGCAACGCGAAGAACCUUACCAAAUCUUGACAUCCUUUGACAACUCUAGAGAUAGAGCUUUCCCCUUCGGGGGACAAAGUGACAGGUGGUGCAUGGUUGUCGUCAGCUCGUGUCGUGAGAUGUUGGGUUAAGUCCCGCAACGAGCGCAACCCUUAAGCUUAGUUGCCAUCAUUAAGUUGGGCACUCUAAGUUGACUGCCGGUGACAAACCGGAGGAAGGUGGGGAUGACGUCAAAUCAUCAUGCCCCUUAUGAUUUGGGCUACACACGUGCUACAAUGGACAAUACAAAGGGCAGCGAAACCGCGAGGUCAAGCAAAUCCCAUAAAGUUGUUCUCAGUUCGGAUUGUAGUCUGCAACUCGACUACAUGAAGCUGGAAUCGCUAGUAAUCGUAGAUCAGCAUGCUACGGUGAAUACGUUCCCGGGUCU
rnacentral:rRNA from 1 species